GACCAACCUGGUACUGUGAGAUGCUGCUCUUACGAGACCUUCGGGUCUAGUGGCGCACGGGUGCGUAACGCGUGGGAAUCUGCCCUUGGGUUCGGAAUAACAGUUAGAAAUGACUGCUAAUACCGGAUGAAGUCUUCGGACCAAAGAUUUAUCGCCCAGGGAUGAGCCCGCGUAGGAUUAGGUAGUUGGUGGGGUAAUGGCCCACCAAGCCGACGAUCCUUAGCUGGUCUGAGAGGAUGAUCAGCCACACUGGGACUGAGACACGGCCCAGACUCCUACGGGAGGCAGCAGUGGGGAAUAUUGGACAAUGGGCGCAAGCCUGAUCCAGCAAUGCCGCGUGAGUGAUGAAGGCCUUAGGGUUGUAAAGCUCUUUUACCAGGGAUGAUAAUGACAGUACCUGGAGAAUAAGCUCCGGCUAACUCCGUGCCAGCAGCCGCGGUAAUACGGAGGGAGCUAGCGUUGUUCGGAAUUACUGGGCGUAAAGCGCACGUAGGCGGCUAUUCAAGUCGGGGGUGAAAGCCCGGGGCUCAACCCCGGAACUGCCCUCGAAACUAGGUAGCUAGAAUCUUGGAGAGGUCAGUGGAAUUCCGAGUGUAGAGGUGAAAUUCGUAGAUAUUCGGAAGAACACCAGUGGCGAAGGCGACUGACUG
rnacentral:rRNA from 1 species